rnacentral:lncRNA from 1 species
CACCUCCACUCUAUCUCUCUCAAUCUAGUAGAAACUAGAACAUCUAUUUCUACCUUACAUUGGUUGCUAAACCUAAAAAGAAAUAUUAAUUAGAGGAGAGGUUUUCCUUCGAGGGCACCCCUCAAUCUCUAUGAUAAUUUCUUCAUGUCUUCUCCAGGGGCAGGGGGGUCUCCUUAUAUAGUCCUCCCCUUGUAUGCGUUUUUGGGUCGAUAGACGAGGUGGUACUAUGUUUUUCUUGAUCCAAUAGGUCGGUGGAACAUCCCGAGCGAAGAGAGUCCUGAAAGCAAUCCAGCAGGGGGCGGGCGCCCAGGUCCUCAGGGCGGGCGCCCUGGGCCUGGCCCCGUUUCGCCUCCGCUUCGGUCUCGUGGCUUCUGGAGUCUUCUAGAUGGUGUAAAAUCGUACGGUGCGUUGAUAUCUCUAUGUAAUCCCGACAUGUGGGCCUUUCUUCCUUAUUUCCUGAUAACCCCCUGCAGAAAUAGACAAACACCAAAACUCAUGGAAUUCUGUCAGAUAAAACCCUAAGUCUAGAUGUUGAUUUCAUUUGGAUCCUUUUCUUUGUUUAUUUGAUAAUUAAAUUUGAUACUUAAGGACCGUCAACAAGCUCCCCCAAGCUUACCUCUUGCUCAUCCCUGAGCAAGGAUAGACUCAGCAAUGGAUUAGAAGUUGUUGCAAUAUCUUUUAAAAAUUGACGGUACACAUGCUUUUAAUUAAGAUCUCAUCUCUGAGUUAGAGUAAACUGUCAAGAACUAAAACUUACUUACUUUACCUUUCACCAUGGGACUUGUAACCGUCACUUCUGUCUUAAGAGGUUAAAAGAUAGAACAGUCUAGCCAAGUGUCAUGUCUCUUAUUCUUGAUCAGCUAUAGCUCUGGGGUUUUUGCAGAUUUUCAAAUAAAACUCAGAGAUUCCUUGUAUGACUCUCUCAUAUCUCUCUUUUGUGGUAUUUCUGGAUCCUUACCAAGGCAUUGAUGGUAUAUGCCUUCUCUCAAGAUAUGUGGUAUUUGUGGUAUAAGGCAUUGCCUUCACUCUCACCCUACUCUAAUAAGGCUUGAUAUCUGGAGCUCAUAGGUGGGAGACAGCUAAUACAUACUUACAAGACAUUUAUUGCAUAGUCAAACCAUGGAUCCAGAGAAACAAAUCAAUAAGCCAAAUGAAGAUGUGCAUGUGUGGCGAAUGAAUGGUGUAUGGUGAUGAUGGUAAUAACAAUGGUGAAUGUCUAAUUCUACUUUUGCUCUUUUGAGGGGAUACAUACCUUCCUUGCUUUUUUUGAAACUUUAUGAGGAGAAUGAGAUGCUCUCUCUCUUUUUUUUCCUCUCAGGUGGGUAUCUUGUACCCCUAAUUCUACUGUCGGACACUUGUCCAUUUUUACCUCUCGUCUCACUUUUUCUUUCUUUCGAGGUUCCGGGCACUUGCCCCUUUUUAUUUCCUCGUUUAUAUAUAUUUUUUUUCUUCUCUUUUCUUUUUUUUCACAGCACUCAUCUCUUGAGAUAAUAUAGCAAGUGGUAGUAACCAAAAUAUUUGGAGCAUUUAUUUCACAGGGAAUAACAGGGAUAGGAAAAUGUUUUUGACUAUUCUCUCCCGGAUUAGGAGUAGAAUAUUUUUUGGUUAUUCUGGAGAUGGAAAUGGAUGGAUAUAUGUGGAUGGUACUUCCGGAGUAGAAGUAGCAUAUAUGAGUGAAUGUGCAAGUGAAUCUUGAUUUAACCACAUGACAAGUUCCUAAGGGUCUACACAGCUUGACCACACUCAAUGCUCAUAAGCAGUAAAUAGUAAAUGUGUGGCUCAAAGUCUAGCAAGCAUGUAUAUAUGGCAGUGGUAGGAAUUUAACUCUCAUCAUACAGGAACUCAUCAUGCAAUAUUUUAAAGAUUUUUCAAAGAUAAAAUUCUCCAGAAUUCUAGCAUCUCUAGGAACAGAUAAACAACAGCUCAACCUUCCCAUAUCAUAUCCGUUAACAACUUAGAUUUCAGAUCAAGUUUUCAUCGCACAAGUUUAGAUCUAGAGCAAGCUUUAAAUUAUAACAGUUAUGUCUAAACUUGAGAGGGAACUUGAAAAUUGCAAAUUAGGCAGAGCAACUAUUCAUCAUAUCCGUGCUAGAGUUUUAUUAUUAAGAUUCAGAUUAGCAUAGCCACUUUAUUUAUUUAUUAAACAUACUAAGCAAAAGAUAUAUAUAUAAGCACAAAAUCUUUAUUUUGUUUUUUCAUAGUUUAUGUAUUUUAAUAUUCUAACAUAAUAUAAGUAUAAAGGUAGGUAGAAAUACUUAGCGAGAAUAAUGGGGGUGCUCUCCCCCAAGCUGAGUUUUGACGUAAUUUCUCUUGAUGUAGCUAGCAGGUGGCAAAGGUGUAUUUGAAAGUCAGCAGCAUUCUGACAGCGAUUAGAAUGUCCUCCGUCUGCUAGUCUUCUUGAUUCUUAAAUUCUGUGGAGCUCAAAUAGACAACAAAGCUUGUGGAACUAAUUAAGUGUUAACAUAAAUAUCUAGCCUUCAUCAUGUUGAGCUUCCUUAAUAAAUGUUAUUUAUUUAGUAGGAUCAUACACUUAUUAUUAUUAUUAUUUUAUAUUUUUAUUGUAAGAUGAAAACUUAUUUAUUUUAUUUUUAUGCCACCACAGUGAAUGUACUUAUGGGUUUUAUGCCAUGAGCAUACUCACAUGGGGCUUACUAUUUAACAUUUUUAUUUUCUUUUCAAGAUAGCAUGAACCUGAUUAACUAGGCAAAUUGAAAGAAAAGGGUAACUACCAAGUUUACCUCUUGGUAAGGCGUUCAGUAUUUUUAUGUCCUCCGAACGGGACUCUCUGUUUUCUCAGUCAUCCUGGGAUUCGCUAGGUGGCGUAGUCGGUGAUUCCGGCGGCGCCUCUCUUCGUGUAUAACUAUCUUCUCCCUCCACACCUGACUCGGUGCUACGGUCUCCUCAGGACAGUUCUGUUCAAGCUGUAUGUCUUCAGUCCUUAUCACUUUUCCUUCGUAGUCUACCCAUCCGUUCUUGAUGAUUUGCCUCCUCUGGUUGCGGUUGCGUCGUCUUCUUGUCCUGACCUGCUUAGAGUCUUCAACUAUAUAGUUAUGGUCAGUAAAAUAGUUGCGUACCUUCUCAGAGGGGAAGUACAUGUGGACUUCUCCGGUUCCAAUGUAGAUGAUUGCUUUGAUAGUGUUGAGGAACGGUCUUCCAAGGAUGGUGGGUGGAUCAUAUUCAUCUUCUCCCAUGUCAAUGACCUGAAAAUUAUCUGGAGCUGAAUAUAUUGGUUGUAGGGGCAUGGUUCCAUGCAGGAGCUGAUAAAUGACUGCGGCCAUUAUGUUGUCGUCAGAUCCGGUGUCGUAGAUUGUCUUCUGAAAAGAGUAUCCAUUGAUUGCGCACUCGAUGCUUGGAACACCAGGGUCGUCCUUCUUGAUCAAGAAAGGUGACUUGAGUCGACGAUGUUGACCUCUUCCGACAAGGAUCCAAUGUUUUAAGUCUUCUGGACAAGACUUUCCACCAUCUUCAUCCUUUAGGUGCAUCAUUUGAUUGGGUGUGGACCUUGACGUCUGCACCUCUUGAUACGGUGUCACCCAUGUUCUUCUUUGCCCAGCAGUUCGAAGUACGGUGUUGGCAAUAUCCUGCUCAGUGUGUUUGUGCUCAUAGAUCCAGGUCCUUCACUUGGUGGAGUCUGGGAGUUGUAAAACUCCUCCAUGUUUUGCUUGAAGUGUACUUGUUCAUAGAGACAAGGCAGAGAUCAAGUGCAUGGGCUCUGUUGGUGGAAAACACCAACAGAACCAAAAGUGUAUUUGUUCUUCUCUAACCUUAAGCAUAGUGAGCAAGACAAAGUUGAUGGAUAAUAAGAUCAUGAGUGUAGUAUUUGAAACAUUUGUCAGAUCAGAUGGCUCAACCUAAUGGAAAGAUAAUCUAUCUAUAUUUAUGUUUUGUUUAUAUCUUCCAAACAUUGAAUGUGCAACAUAUUAGCUUAUAUGUUUAGGAGCGUGGGAUCAUGAAGGUAGUACUAAGAACAAAGAUUAAAGGACUAAACAUGUUGAAUUAAUUGAGUUGGUUAAUCUGGAGUUAUAAAUCCUACAUGUUUGUCUCUUUAUUUAUGUGAAUGCUAGAACCAAGGAGAAGCUUAUAAAAGCGAUAGUCAAGUACCAUAAGGUGUUACCUUACUUGAAGAGUGACGGUACAGUAUCACCUUGUGGAAGCUUUCCUUUCUUAGCGGUUGUGCAUCGUGUUUGUGACACCCUUCAUGAAUCAUCUCUUAUGAGCCACGUCUUUCCUGUGCAAAUUGUUAAACUUCAUGUGUCACUUUCUUCAUCUCCAAUGCGAGUUUAUCUCAGGACUUCCCAGGUUGAUAUUGAAAGUUUUCCUACAGGGGUUAGUCCAACAAAAUAUCCCAUAUCUACUAUAGCAUACUAUCGGCUUAAAAAUCAACCUAGACACCAUGUCUAAUUUGAUUUAGAAGGGCAUUUUAACCUAAGCACCAUGCUUAAUUUAAAAUCCCUUGGAAGUAAGAUCAUCAUUCCUAAACUAAGCACCAUGCUUAAUUAAGAGAUAAAUGAAACUAUUCCAAACCUAGACAUAUACUAAAGCAAAUAAAGGUAGCAUGAGAGCAUUUAUAGAGAUCUACUUAAGUGGAGAUGAAGUAGUGUAAUUAGUAUUUAACAAAUUGAUCAUGUCUCAAAGGUAAGGACAACCAACGUAGCAACAUGGCAAAAGAUGUUUUUAUGUAAAGUACUCCCCCAAGCUUGAAUUUUACAAAAUUCAAGUUUGGAUGAAUUUAAUUCAAUGUUGUGUGAUGGUUGGUUGGACAUACCCUGUGCUUGUCAUUCAUCCGAUCUUCUUGCUCCAAUCCUGGAAAGGUUAGUGACAAGAAUACCCGAAGGAAUAUUUCUGCAAUUAUCUUUCAAUACACAAGGCAAUGUUGCAAAUAAUUAGAAGUUCAUGUUAUGAUCUGAUAAGUGCUUGUUUUAGGACACUAAGCUUGUUCUUGGGAAACCAUCAAGUUAUGUUGGUGAAGUGGUUUCCCCUCCAACACCUACCUAUAUCAAGAUCGAGAUCUGCAAUAUUUAUUAUAGACAUAUACAUCGACAACCGCCCUUUUAAAGUUUUUAUAAACGAAGAGGAAAAGGGGGUUGGAGAUCUCAAAUGUGGUAAGGAUGGAGAGACAAAUUGAUUGGAGAGAUGUUUUAUAUGAGCAAGGACUGGGUGAGGUAUUUAUGAAAUAACUUCCAUGCUCACAGUUGUUUCUCUCAAACUCCAAGGAUGAUUCUUCAUGAAUGCUUAAAAUUCCUCUAAGAUUGUCUCUCAAGUUUGUUUUAUCUAUCCAUUCAAUGGUGAUAGCACAUGGAUUUUUAAUGCCCUCUAGCCAUUGAUGUUGCUUUUCUCGAUCCUCCUUCUUAUGCAUGGGAUGUCUAGAGAGAUUCAUAGGAUUAUCGGGAGGUUCAAGAGAAAAAGCAUAGUAGAAAUUAUUAAACUCAAGGAUGGGUUGGAUAGCCGAAUUAUGGGAUUGAAAUGUUUGGAAAUCGGCUAUUGAAACUUCCUCUCCUUGUAUGGGAGAUGAUUCCUUCUCUAUCUCUAAGAUUUUUCUAUGAAGACUAGUGCAAGAAGGGUGUCUACGAAUGAAGACAUACCUUCCUUUACUAAUAGAUAAAGAAAGAAAGACUCUACCAAAGGUUAUAUGAUUAAGACCAAUGUGAAAAUAUCUAGGAAAAACAUGGUCUUGUAGGGCUAGGUCUAAACCAGAAUUUAUAGAAAGAUUAAAAGAUUCCCUAGGUGUAGCUAAAAGUGCAUUAUCUUUUUGAUUAAAAGAUAGGACCUCAGCUAUAGAAAAGGGUUGGUUUUGACCUAUUGCAAUCAACUCCGGACACAGAUCAUAAUUAGGGGCAGGACGUGUUGACUCCCAUGGUCUAUGGCUGGUCUCCGAAGGUGCAAAGAAUUCAAUAAUAGGUAUGGAAUUUGAGUUAUCCAUAAAGAUAAAAAUAAAAAGAUAAAAGAAUAAAAGUAUAAAAGUAUAAUACAAGAUAAUAGCAAGACUCAAAGUUAUCUCAGCAAACCGUCUUUCUCCCCGGCAACGGCGCUAGAAAUGCUUGUUGAUAUUUGGUAACGCAAUUAGAAAAUGAUCCGCAAGUGCACGGAUAUCGGUGAGCAUUUCACCCGGGAGGUUAUCCAGAGUUAUCGUAUUUAUAUUUUUACCACUGGGAGAAAGGGUGCAUCUGACUAACCAAAUCUAUUGCUACUAUCCCUUUAGGCACAAAGAAUGUCUUUCGAUGUGAGUGAUAAAUAGAGAAGACUGCAACCGUAGUCUCCUUCUAACCUUGGUAAGGGUGAUCUAUUGUUCUAUUGGGGAGGCUCACGGAAUCUAGACAACACAAAGGAUGUUCGACCCGCACCUAUAAACCCUAUCCUUCCUGCUAACGAGAUGUGAUCUACAAAGGUAGCUCAGAAUUGUCACGUUCCUCACUACUACCACGGUCCAGCUAGUCAGGGAAUAUCUAUGAGUACCCCAGCCUAAACACCACGUUUACGCCAGCAAUGAUUACUAUAAACUCUACGCGAAGAGAUUAAAGUAAACACAUAAACCAUAAGAACAAUAAAACAAGAACUUACUAGAAUUUAGAAGUCGAAUUACUGAAGAAUCCUAGGAGCAAGCUUCGGGUUAGGAGAACUUGAUCCCGCAGGUACAAGCUUGGAGUAGACACCGACAGGCCGGGCUUCCUCCAAUCUACACCUCCACUCUAUCUCUCUCAAUCUAGUAGAAACUAGAAGAUCUAUUUCUACCUUACAUUGGUUGCUAAGCCUAAAAAGAAAUAUUAAUUAGAGAAGAGAUUUUCCUUCGAGGGCACCCCUCAAUCUCUAUGAUAAUUUCUUCAUGUCUUCUCCAGGGGCAGGGGGGUCUCCUUAUAUAGUCCUCCCCUUCUAUGCGUUUUUGGGUCGAUAGGCGAGGUGGUACUAUGUUUUUCUUGAUCCAAUAGGUCGGUGGAACAUCCCGAGCGAAGAGAGUCCUGAAAGCAAUCCAGUAGGGGGCGGGCGCCCAAGUCCUCAGGGCGGGCGCCCUGGGCCUGGCCCCGUUUCGCCUCCGCUUCGGUCUAGUGGCUUCUGGAGUCUUCUAGAUGGUGUAAAAUCGUGCGGUGCGUUGAUAUCUCUAUGUAAUCCCGACAUGUGGGCCUUUCUUCCUUAUUUCCUGAUAACCCCCUGCAGAAAUAGACAAACACCAAAACUCGUGGAAUUCUGUCAGAUAAAACCCUAAGUCUAGAUGUUGAUUUCAUUUGGAUCCUUUUCUUUGUUUAUUUGAUAAUUAAAUUUGAUACUUAAGGACCGUCAACACAUACAAAUGCGGCAAAUGGUUCAUGAGCUUGCCCCCCCUAUUUGUGUGCUCAAGUUUUAAUUUAUCCCUUUCUAUUUUCAAAAAUUUUCUUUCCCCCUUAAGCACUUUUCUCCCCCUUUAUGACUUAUCUUUGUUUCUCUCCCCCUUUGUCAUCAAUGACCACAAAGGUUAAAUUUUUAGUGAGAAUUAAGUCAAUCAAUGUGAGGGUCAAAUUAUGGUUCAAUCUUGAUUACUUGCCUAGAUCAUGUAAUUCGGUUUGAUCCAAGGACAAGCUUUUUCACACCUCAUAAAGUAUAAGGGUUAUCUUGACCAUGUGGAAUAACAUACCAUAAGCUUAUAUUCUAGAUUCAACACUAGGCUUGCAAACUCACAAAAAUGUCAUAUGCUACCACUAGAUCAAUCAAUCAUAGGAACAAUAGUGGUACCAUACAUACAUCAAAUUCUAUUGAUUUUUAUGAAUGAGCCUAUUGUCAUGCAAACAUGUCUAUAUGUUUUAAUCAUGUCCUUAGUGAAGUAUGAAUGCCAUAUCAACCAUCUUUACCUUGCUUUGUUGGAGGAGAGGCAUGUCAUAUAUAUAUAUGUGUGGCUGCACUUAUCUCAAGUUGGAGAAGUCAAGUAUGUUGAAUUCAUUUCUCAACUUGCAAAAUCUCUUCUCAUCAAGUGGCUUUGUGAAGAUGUCGGCUAGUUGAUCUUCGGUGCCAAUGCUUUCAAUGCUAAUAUCACCCUUUUGUUGAUGGUCUCUUAUGAAAUGGUGCCUUAUAUCAAUGUGCUUGGUUCUUGUGAUUCCAAAGUCAUUCAAGGUAGCUUUCAUCCAAAGCAAUUGUGCACAACAACUACCGGCACUAAUGUAUUCCGCCUCGGUGGUUGAUAGUGCAACACUAUUUUGUUUCUUUGACGACCAUGAAACUAGAGACCUUCCUAGCAAUUGAUAAGUACCACUUGUGCUCAUUCUAUAAAUCUUGCAUCUACAAUAGUCGGAGUCCAAAUAUCCAAUCAACUCAAAGUUAGCCCCUUGGGAUACCAUAAUCCAACAUCAUGAGUGGCCUUGAGAUACCUCAAUAUUGUUUUGGUUGCCUUCAAGUGACUCUCUCUAGGUGAAGCUUGGUAUCUUGCACAUUUGCACACGCUAAACAUCACAUCUGGCCUUGAUGCGGUGACAUAGAGUAAACUUCUAAUCAUGGACCAAUAUAGCUUUUGAUCUAUCAUGUUGACACUAGCAUCAUUACCUAAUUGAUCAUUUGUGCCCAUAGGUGUGCUCAUUGGUUUAGCUUCUUGCAAUCCAAACUUCUUGAUCAUGUCCUUGAUGUACUUGCCUUGACUCACAAAAGUGUCAUUCUUCAUUUGCUUGAUUUGAAGACCAAGGAAGUAACUAAGCUCUCCUAUCAUGGACAUCUCAAACUCUUUUGCCAUCAUUUUUCCAAAUUCUUCACAAAAAUCGUGAUUGGUUGAUCCAAAGAUGAUAUCAUCAACAUAGAUUUGCAACACGAACAAGUCAUUGCCUAGUUUCUUGGUGAAGAGGGUAGUGUCAACUUUUCUCAUCUUGAAACCUUUAGAGAGAAGGAAAUCUCUCAAUCUCUCAUAUCAUGCUCUAGGUGCUUGCUUCAAACCAUACAAUGCCUUCUUGAGCUUGUAAACAUGGUUAGGUUUCUUGUCAUCUUCAAAACCAGGAGGUUGUUCAACAUAAACCAACUCAUUGAUGUAUCCAUUGAGAAAUGCACUCUUCACAUCCAUUUGAUAGAGCUUGAUGUUGUGGUCACAAGCAUAGGCUAAUAAUAUUCUAAUUGCCUCCAAUCUUACAACCGGUGCAUAUGUUUCUCCAAAGUCAAGACCUUCAACUUGAGUGUAGCCUUGUGCUACAAGUCUUGCUUUGUUUCUCACAACUACACCAUCUUGAUCUUGCUUGUCUCUAAAGACCCACUUGGUACCAAUCACAUUAUAGUUCUUUGGCCUCUCAACAAGCUCCCACACUUGAUUUCUUGUGAAGUUAUUCAAUUCAUCAUGCAUGGCAUUUACCCAAUUAGAAUCUUUCAAUGCAUCUUCUAUCUUCUUUGGUUCCUCAAAUGAGACAAAUGAGUAGUGCUCACAAAAAGAUGCUAGCCUUGAUCUUGUUUGCACACCACUUUGAAUACCACCAAUGACUUGAUCUAAUGGAUGAUCCUUGCUAUGCUUGUACGUUGGAGUAUUGGGAGUUGAUUGCUUCCACUUGCUUGAAUUUGAUUUUGAUCAUCAUCAUGACAGCCACUAGUACUAGCUUGAUUUGUAUCAAUUUGCACUUCUUGAUUGAUCAUGUGAGUGUCAUUAUCAUCAUCAACUUGCCUUAGCCUUAUGUCACCAACAUCUAUGUUCUUCACUGCAUUUGCUAAUUGAUCUCCUCUCACAUCAUCAAGAUUUUGAGCUUCACUUUGAGAUCCUUCGGUUUCAUCAAACUCAACAUCAUGAACUUCUUCUAAUGUGCCACUUGCCAAGUUCCAAACUCUAUAUGCCUUGCUUGUGGUGGAAUAACCAAGUAAGAAACCUUCAUCACAUUUCUUCUCAAACUUGCUCAAUCUAGUGCCUUUCUUGAGAAUGUAGCAUUAGCAACCAAACACUCUAAAGUAUGCAAUGUUGGGCUUUCUUCCAUUCAAUAGCUCAUAUGGUGUCUUCCCAAGCUUUCCAUGGCAAUAUAGAUGGUUGCUACAAUAGUAAGCCGUGUUGAUAGCUUCACUCCAAGAUGAAUUACUAACAUUGUAUUUGUAAGCAUUGAUAUGGCCAUGUCAAUCAAGGUUCUAUUCUUCCUUUCAACUACACCAUUGGAUUGAGGAGUGUAUGUUGGAGAUAAUUGAUGUCCAAUGCCAAGAUCAUCACACAAUUCCUCAAUUCUUGUGUUCUUGAAUUCACUACCAUUAUCACUUCUAAUCUUCUUGAUAGUGGUUUCAAAUUCAUUUUGCACAAGCCUCAAUUCACUACCAUUAUCACUCAAUUGUUCAAUUGUUUCAUUCCAACAUGACCAAGCCUUCUAUGCCACAACCAACCCAAACUUGAUUUUCCAAUUAGGCAAGAUGUCAAUUGAGUGUCACUAUAAUUGAAAUCAACCAAGUAUAAGCUACCAUGUCUAAAUCAUUUGAAUAUCAAGUUUGAUCCAUCAAUACUAACCACCUCAACAUCAUCACUACCAAAGAUGCACUUGAAACCAAAGUCACAAAGUUGUGCAAUUGACAAGAGAUUGAAAUCAAGGCUCUCAACUAGCAACACAUUUGAUAUGCUCAGGUCAUUUGAGAUAGCAAUUUUACCAAGCCUCUUGACCUUGCCUUUCUUGUUGUUGCCGAAGUUGAUUGAAUCAAAGCCACCAUUUUGACUAGUAUCAAUUGAUUUGAACAUACAAGACUCUCCGGUCAUAUGUUGAGUGCACCCACUAUCAAGAACCCAAUGCCUUCCUCUGGCUUUGUAAUUGACCUACAAGACAAGAUCAAUUCUUUUUAGGUACCCAAAAUUAAUUGGGCCCUCUAAGGUUAGCAACUAAGCUCUUUGGUACCCAAAUGGCUUUCUUCUUUCAGCCCAUCCAUGGUGCACCAUUGAACUUAGCAUGAACACCUUUUGUAUCCUUGGUAAGCACAUAAAAAGAAUUAAGCUUAACUGAUGAUACAUUAGCUUUGGAAUUCUUGUUCAUGCACUUUUGCUCUAGGUGACCGACUUGCUUGCAAGCUUUGCAAUACUGGCCAUUGUUCUUCACAAACUAGUCUUGUGAGGAGCAAAGGCAGCCUUGCCUUUCUUGGGAUUAUAGCCUAAUCCCUCUUUACAGAGAGAAACUUGUAACACCCCAGUGUUAUGGUUGCAUCAACCACAUGCAUAACAUGAGGAUCAUCAUCUAAUCAAGCAUAUCAUGAUCAUCAAUUACCUUGGGUCAUGUAAUUUUGUGCAAAAAUGUGAUUUAACUUGUUUAGUUAUGCUUCCUAUGCUUGUGUUUGUUGGUACCAUGCUCUUGUUUGUGCUCUAUGCCUUGGUAAUUAGUUUAUCUAUGCUUAACUGAACCUUAGGAGCAAUGUUCAUGUUGAUCACUUCUCCAAAAUAAUCACUUAAGUCAUACUUUCAUGUAUAGGCCCUAGAAACCUCCUUUGCUUAGGCUUUUAAAAAGUGUUCCAUAAAUUGUUUGCAUGUCAAAACUUUCUAUAGCAAAGUUGUAGAAUAUUUUAUAAGGAACCAAAGUUGUUUUAUGUCCAUCUCAUGAAAAUGACCACAUCUUGCUCAAAAAGUGCUUGCAAGGCAGUUUUGGGUGCUGUUUUAGCACUUAGCCAAAUUUGGCUAAGUCCAGACGACACCAGUUUGCUCGAUCGAUAUUGGAAGCUUCAUAUCUCUCAAUCCAUGCCGAUCUGGCUCUUGCUCUAGUUGACAAUGUUGUAGAACGCAGCUAGUACUUCAACUUUGUCAACUACACCAUCUCCUAAUUCGCUUUGGUUCGGGAGAUAAUCGCUGUCAAAGUCGCUUUGUCAGACGACCAUCGCCAUGUCUGAAUCGAAGCCGAGCUCGUCGACGUGGCCGACCGGCGACAGAACUAUGGCGACAUUUGGCGCCCGUACGUCGUUCCUAGCCCCGCUCGUCAGCUCCCAGUGCGCGCAUGACCUCCACGGCGACACCCUGGAUGCAGUGGACGCGUCCAUUCUCUCCUCCGUCUCGCUCUCUCGCUAGAAAAGCGGCCGCAGCGAGCUCACCGUCGCGGGCUCACUCCGGCGAGCUCAAACGUGCUCCUCGCUGCAUUGCUGCCCACCAAAACUCGCCCACAGCUCCGCCGUGACCCGCUCUCCAUCCUCCAUCCGCAAACUCGCCGUGAAACCCUUUGGUGUGCCGACAUUUCCGACUUCCCCCAAAUCUAGUCGCCGUGACCUUCUUCUCCGGCGAACUCAAUGCUGAGCUCCUUGGAGCCUCUCGUCUUCUCUAGUUAGGUCCUAGAGGUAGCUUAGGUCUUUAGCGAAUGUUUGCGCCACUUGGUGGACGCUCUACCGCACUCACCGUCGCCGGACACGACGCGCAGCGCCGCCGUGUUUCCGUCGGAGUUCGGCUCUCUCAUGGCCAGCUCAUUCCACACCGUUCACUGGUGUUGUAGGAAACCCUAGGUCGCGCUCUACCGGCCUGAGAGCUCCGGCGUAACGCCGAGCACCUCCGCCGAGCCGCCGUGGUCGACGGCAAGCCAUUUUCCGGUGGCUCCGCCGUGGGGAAAAGGCGGUCACUCGGUUCGCAAGGGUCUGGGGAUCACGUUGGUGCCCUUGGUUUGGCCGGAUACCUCGCCGUCGCGGAGAAAUCGCCGGUGAAAGUCGUCUCGAUCGUGAGGAAGACGACCCUGACACGCGGGACCCGCUGUCAGUGACACAUCGUUUCCCUCCUUUUCUUUUAUUCAAAUCCAGAUUUUUGGCAUUCUUGCAAAAAUUAUAUCUUCUGUUUCUGUGAUCCAAAAAUUGUGAAACAAAUUUUGUGAUGUUCCUUGAGAUGGCUAGUUUUUAUAAAAAUAUAACAUGCACCAUGUUUUUUGGGAAAAAUAAUUGUUAUGAUUUAAUCUUGUUAUUUAUGUAUAAAUUCAUAUCUGUUGAUAUACUGCUCCUUUUGUUAUGAAAAAUUUAUGCUAGCCCCUGAGUGGCAUGAGUAUGCUAUGAUAAAUAUUUCAUGAUUUUUGGAGUAAUGUAUCUGUGAUAUGUAAUUUAUGUUUGUGAUAUGUCUUGUUUUCUUACUUAAAUGAUAAUAAUUAAUUGGUGCCUAUGCUGGUGCUCUACUCUAGUGUCAAACUUGUUUAUGGUAAUAGUCACAUGUAAAUAAUCUGAAAUUGUUUGACACUAUCUAAGCUAUGUUUCUUAAUUUAUGAAAUAAGCACCUGACACAUGUUAAAUGCUUAUCUCAAAUUUGGCGGGUGCAAUUGUUCUGAAAAUUUUAUGGUAAUGUCAAGAUGAUAUGCUUGUGCUUGCGUAAUUUUUGUAGAUGUUUCUGAGCACUUUUGCUGGUAUCUUGUAAAUAUGUCCUUUUAUGGAAUUAAUUUAAUAAAUAUCAUGUUAUUAUAUGUUUAGUGGUUAACAUGUGAUGUUUCUGGUAAUCUUGUAGUAUGCUAGUGCUUAUAAGCUAUGUGGUUGACACUAAUUAUGUUUUGGCUAUGUAAUUAAACAAUUAAGUAAAGGGUUAAAAGCUGUUCUGGACAGCAAGGGAGUAAUCUAACCUUUGCUUGAUGAUAACUUGGUUUGCUGGAAGACUUGUCUAGAUCAAAGUUGUUGUAAACUUUAUGAACUAGCUGUGGUUUAAUUUUGGGAUCAUUUGGUCCAAUAGUUUAAAAGUUAUAGCUCUUUCAAGUUGGAUUCUAGAAAUAGGUGUUCUCUGUUUUUCUGGGACAGAACCUGGAACUUUGUUUAAAUGACUUAUUUAACUUAUGAAUCUUGCUAUGAUGUCUAAAGAUGAAAUGUAGAAAAUUUCAUAAGCUUUCCAGAAUGUCCUCAUUCAUGAUUGUUGGAUCUGUAUAACUCCAGUUAUGAUUUAUUCCUUGAGCUGCACUGCUACGUUGGUCAUUGCUGUUUGUUGUUUAACUUGGUAAUCUUGCUAAGUAGUUAAUCAUCUUGCACGAACUUAUUAUAAAAGUUACUCCAUAAAUGAGUGUCCAGUGAGUCUAAUUACGUUAUCGAGCAUUCAUCCUUUUAGUAUGCACACAUUCUUAUUCAUCGUGCAUGCAAUAGGUGCACCGGAAACGACCGCUGCGUUCGAGCUCCAAGUGAACCCCGAGGGCCAAGAGAUCAACCCGGAGGUGGAGGUCCAGCAAGCCGGACACGAGAAGCCCGAAGAAGAGAUUGAGUGCCCGAAUCACGAGCCUGCAUCGUUCGUGAAAGGCAAGCCCCGGAGCAUCUUAAGUCUCCCACUUUAAUUUCGAAAGUUUACUUGAUUAUGUUAUAUCUAUUGAUGCAUUACAUAUAGGAGUUGUGAUGAAACCCUUGCUGUAUUUUACUCAUUCCUUGUCCAGAUAUCUUACCAUUACCUGGUCAUAGAGUUAGGAUCGAGUAGCAGCUUAGUCAUGCUUUAAUCGGUAGAAGUCGGGUGAUAUCCUGUCACCUGUGCGAGAUAGGGUUGUGUCGGAUCACGAUUGUCUAUAUGUGCUAUCGUGGAAAGAACCUGAUUAAAAUGACUUAAGCCGGGCGGAGUUUUGCAAGGUUGUAGUAACUCCGUCUGUGGCAGCUAAGGACCGAUCGUUGUACGUCCUCUUGUCAUGUUGAACGCAUGCCUGACACUUAGUUGGCCGGAUAACUCGUUCCGACCGCGAAGCCUAGUAGUAUGACUCAGGCCGGAAGACCGGUAAGUAUAAAGUGCGCACUACCGGAGGAAUUGCGGUGUGCGGGGGACUAUUGCCGUAGGACCAAAGGCAGGUGAGUUAAAAGUCCUGACCUCCCUGGCAGAGUGGUAGCCCUAGGAGUGCGGCGCUUAUCGGAGCCGCGAUUCCUGAGUCGUACCAAAGGUGACUGUUGACGGUCCUUAAGUAUCAAAUUUAAUUAUCAAAUAAACAAAGAAAAGGAUCCAAAUGAAAUCAACAUCUAGACUUAGGGUUUUAUUUGACAGAAUUCCACGAGUUUUGGUGUUUGUCUAUUUCUGCAGGGGGUUAUCAGGAAAUACGAAAGAAAGGCCCACACGUCGGGAUUACAUAGAGAUAUUAACGUGCCGCGCAAUUCUCUUACAUCUAGAAGACUCCAGAAGCCACGAGACCGAAGCGGAGGCGAAACGGGGCUAGAGGCAGGGCGCCCGCCCUCCUGCCCUGGGUGCCCGCCCCCUCCGUGAGUCCAAUCAGGACUCUGCUUCGUGGCAGAUCUCCACCGACCUAAAGGAUGAAUCUAAACCAUACAAUCUAUGUCGGUUUGAUCCAACGGCCCAUAUUCACUUGAAGGGACUAUAAAACCAGACCCCCUAGCCCCUGGAGGAGAGAGCCUCUCCACCCUAAUUCAUUGUUCCUCAAGGGAGAAGAAGCCUCUGAUCAAGAUUAGGGCCACCACAUCAAUUAGAUAUCUAGAUUAGCAUAGCUACAUAGAAUUAGAACUACAAGGAGUCAAUCUUCGAUUGGUUUCUGGAUCUGUCAGGAGGAUUCUUGGUAAUUCUCUAAUUGUGCAUCUAAUUGCUUUCUAAUUAUCUUUGUUCUUCAAUAUUAUGAAUAUGACUUUGUUCUACUUCAAUAUAUUGCUUAUGACUUUGCUCUACUUACUUAUAUUCAAGAUUAUAUUGUUCUUAGUUUAUUAUAGUUAUGUACUUGGCUUAGUUAGAUUGGAUCUAUAUACAUGCUUAGCAUCGUAUAGCGUUUAUCCAUCGGAUCCAUGGGUAAAUGAUAGAUAUUAUGUAGGCGUGGUGCUUAUACCGUAUUUAUCUGCGAUUGUACCCAAUAUGCCAGAUCGUGGGGUAGUUCGUGAUAGUGACAGCUUCAUUGAUUCUUAUAUAGUCCCCCUCUCGUGUAUUGGGCUGACAGAGCAACAUUGUUAUAGGGGAGUGAUUGCUAUGUUUCUCAUUUACCUUGCUAAUAUCACUAUGCAUGGGCGUAGUCUUGUCUCGCAAUGAUUGCUAAGUAUGCUUGCACUAACUAUGAUAAUGCUAGACUAUAUAGUUGAGAAUAACUUAGGGAAUAUUCUUAUAGUUCGUUCUAAUACCAUGCUAAUGACUUUCUAGAGUAUCUAAUUGAGGUGCUUAUCAUAUUUAUUAUGUGGCUGAUCAGAUUAAUUACCUUUGUCACUAUUCAUUAACUCAUAUAUCUUUUAUGUGACACUUAUCCCUGUAUGAAGAGUUAGAUAAAUGUUCUCAGUUACAUAUGCAAUGAUAGAUACUCAAUCUCAUAUUCUAUUCUGUAAUCAAUAGUGAUGAUUGUUAAUCCCUUCCCAGUGGUAAAAAUAUAAAUAACAAUACCUGGAAUACUUCCUGGUUAAAAUGCUGCAUCGGUAUUAAUCUGUGCGCUUGCAGAUCCCAUUCAUUAUUUAUUUAGAAGAGCAAUUGCAUAUUUCAAUACCCCGUCUCUUAUAUCAUGCUGGGGAUGACAACUUGGCUUAAGUGGUGUGAGGGAUAGGUUUGGCAUUUUUGGCACUGUUACUAGAUUUAGAACUUAGUCUACUUUUGGUAAUGAUGUUAAGAGUACCCAACAAGCAUUUUUGGCGCCGUUGCUGGGGAAGGUUGAUUACUAAUCAGGAAUGGAAUAAAGGAUUUUGAGUUAUCAUUCGCAUCACUAAUAUGAUUGAGCUUAUCUAUUCUCUCAUAUAGUUUUACCCCGAUAUUUUUCUAUUUUAUCUUAUGCAGGGGAAUGUAUGAAUAGAAGACAUCUUCCAGGAAAUUUUGUUGACAAUCCCAAAGCAUUAUUCAAGAAGACGAGAGCCAAGCUCAAGAAGAGAUCAUCAACACUUCAGCAAGAAGCUUCAUCCAAUCAAGAAGUGUCGGUGUUUUCCCCACGGGGGGUCACACCAACGAGUAAAUUUGUAUGCGUGCUCCCUUUCCCAGAUGGUGAUGCAAGAACACACAAAGAUUUAUCCUGGUUCGGGCAAGAGGAAGCCCUACGUCCAGCGGGGGGGAAGUCUGUAUUAUCUUGCACCUAAGUGCUCGUACAGGGGUGAAUACAAUCAUGAUAUGGAGUGUGUGAGCUCUACUGCGUAUGGUCUCGCCCCUGUUCUAUUCCUGAGUCCCCCCUUUUAUAGCACCAAGGAGAGACCUAGGAUACAUGUAUAGGUGUCAGAAUAGGAGUCGAUAGCAGCAUGGAGCGCUGACCUACUCGAGGCUUCUGUACCGGCAUGGCCUCGAGCCAUCCCGUCUUGAUAGCCUGGUGAUUAUUACGCGUGCCCCUGCAUUCUGCUCUGCGCGCCGUCUUGUGUUGGGUCAAUGGUCGCACGCUUGUACGGUAUGGCGGCAGAUCCGACGGGGUGGUUGUGGUGUUAUCAGUCGACGCCCAACUUGUCCCCAGGAUGGAACCCUGUUCGGUCGAGGGUCGGACGCCGUGUAAUGUCCUGAUAUCGGAGCGCUGACCUUGGUUACCUUCGAGGGGUCUUGAUUUGACAUUCCAUCCCCGCUUCCCACGUCCUGACACGGCCUGGGUCGUUUGGUGGGAAGGCUGCAAAAAGAACGAUGGGACAGAUGCCUGUUCCCUAUCGCACCUCCCGUGACCUGUGUGUUAGGUGGGGAAGCGUCAGGCGCAUUUAAUGCUCCGGCUCGCGUGCGCGCGUCGGGCGGCGGGGGCGUCCUUGCGCUCGACGCCUCCCAGUUCAUGUGAGCCUGUUUCCGUAUUCGACGGCAGCUUGCGCUCGACCCCUGAUCGAUUCGCUCGACGCUAUUUCCGUCUUCGAGGUUGUGGACGUCGAAGGCUGCGUGUACGCAUGGCCAGAGCUUCGAGUCGAGGGCCUCAUCCUGCGUAUGGAUAGUCUUGUUAUGCGCAUUGGUGAGGGUACCCCUUAUUGAUACCCUCGACAGUAGCCCCCGAGUCUCCGUUCGAGCGCUGGCGCUCGAGUGGAGACUUGUACCCUCGGGUCGAGCUUCCGUGGGGGCACGCGAGCGACCCCGCGGGGGUAGCCCCCGAGCCCUUGAAGGAGUUUUUGACUCCUUCGAGGGUUAUAUUGCCUAGUUUGUAGAAACGCUAUCGACACUAGUGGUGGUAGGUUCUAAUUGGCUCGUUUUACGUGGAGGUUUCGACGUACUCUCGAUAGAGCGAGCGUCUUCCCCCCAAGAUUGAGUUCCUAGCGGGUAGUCCAAGUGAGAACCUGUGCCCUUUUCGAGGGGGUUAGCUGUAGCCCGGAGGCGUUCUCAUAAAGCAGGGUCGACGUGGUCGGGGAUACCGGUCUCAUUCGAUAGAGUCCAGCGGCUCGAUGCCUCCCGUCGGGGGGAUUCCUCUCGACUGUCUCGACUCUACCUUGGACAUCCCCAGCGAGUCUUCGAGGCAGGCCUUGAUCUUAGACCGCUCGAUGGAGAUCCCUGACUCCGGUGCUCGAGAUCUGCUGUCGAACCCUUUCGGUGGGCCAGCCUGCGACCUCUCGAGGCUUUCGCGGGUACGCCCCUUGGCUUACAAGGGAAGGAAGUGGCCGUGGCGGUUCGCCUUUUUGCCCGUUGGGCGCGCCUUUUUAGGCGGAUGACGUUACGACACUGCGUCGGCGUGGAAUUCGGAGCGCCCCGCCUGUGAAGGGGGAAAGACUGUUAGGUGGCGCAUUUAUGGGGGGACGUUACCUCAUUUCUCGGAUCCGUCCGUUGGCGGAUCGUUGCUUAUAAAUACGCUGUGGCACCACCGCUGUUCUUUCUUCCGCCUCCCAUCUUCACUCUUGCCUUAGCCUUUUUGCCGUCUUAGCUUUCUCGCCGUCUCACGCGCACAAGCCUCCUCGAGCAGUAGUGGAUCCACCGUCCUUCCAGCCGAGAUGCCUGUGAGACUCGUUGCCGCUGACGAGUGGCACCCGUCGUUGAUGAAGGAGCGCCGGUUGUUAGAGCUUGAGAGAGAGGGACUGCUGCGCCGCCGUACCUCGCUAUCGUCGCCCGAGUGGAUCGCGCCGCCGGCGAACCACAGGGAGCCCCAACCGCCCGAGGGCUACGUGGUGUCAUUCGCCAAAUUCCACCGCCACGGCCUGGGUGCUCCUUCGAGCCGCUUUAUGCGGGCACUUUGCCUCCACUACGGGGUGGAGCUUCAGCACUUUUCCCCGAACGCCAUCACCGUCGCGGCGGUCUUCGCUGCCGUGUGUGAGGGCUACUUGGGGAUGAUGCCGCACUGGGAGCUGUGGCUCCACCUCUACAGGGGCGAGCUUUUCCACGCCCCCACCGGAACCACGGGUGUAAGGAAGCUCGUGCGGGCGGGAUGCCUCAAUCUUGUGCAGAAGACGGGGAAGACGGACAGGCCGCGGGAGUACAUCCCGGUAGGGUUAUCGACCAACCACGCUGGCUGGGACUCCCAGUGGUUUUACCUACGGAACGACGACAACCUCCUGCCUUCCUACUCGGGUCGUCUGAUCAUUGAGCGUCUAGCGGACUGGACAUACGGCGUUGUCCAAGCUCAUCAAUCUCGGCUCGACCCCCUCCUCGACGCCCUGAAGAAGCUUCGCCAGGAGGGUUUGACCGCCGCUCUCAUCCUCUCGGCCGUCCAUCACCGGAGAGUUCUCCCAUUGAUGUCUCGACCGUUGAGGAUGGACGAGAUGGGCCCUGGCGUCUCAUCUCGGGACCUCGAGGCGUGCCGGAUGUCCAACGAGGCUCCGGCGGACGACGAAGUCGCGGCCCGAGUCAGGGCUGCAAUUGCCGGUGAUUUUCAGCCGGAUCAUGUUAACGGCUUCCCCAUGAGGCCAGAUGCAGGCUCGAUCGAUCUGGUACGCUUUCUUCUCGUGCGCAGCCUAGAUUAUGGGUUUCCUUUCCCCCCCUUUUUUUUUAAGUCUGCCUUUGUUUUGGCAGGGACGGAUUGAUGUCCGGUCCUCGAGGCCUCCGGUAAAGGAGGACGAGGUCGAUCGCGACAAACGGCGUCAAUCCACCGAAAAGCUAAAGUCCGCCAAGGACUCUGCAAAGAAGGGGGAGAAGAAGAAGAACCUCGACCGCCAAGCAUUAGAGGCGCGUCGAGCCAAAUCUAGGCAGAGGGGGGAGCCAGAGGAAGGAUCCCCCAACGACGACGAUGAUGACGACGAGGACAGCGACGACUCUGAGGGGAUGGCGUCACGCCUUGACCGAAUCCUCGAGGGUCCGCCUCAAGGCGACGUCGACGCCCCCCAGGCGGAGACUCCAAAGGAGGGUCCGAGCGGAUCUCACCGCCCUCGGGCCGACACCCCUCCUGCGCCCAAGGCUGGUCAAGUCGCACCGCGCCCUCCCCCGGCGCCCAGGGAGAGUGGUCAUGCUAGGCCCCAGGCGACGGGGCCACUGACUCGCGGUCGCGCCGCGGCCUCCGAGAAAGGAGAGGCCGGCCGUAGGAGCGCCAGUCCCGGCGUCCACCAGGCGGGAACUGCCGCGCCAAGGCCAGCGCCUGCCUUCGAGGGGCCUGGGGCCCUGACGCGGGGUGGCUCGAGGCCCGCCGGUCGGGGCGGCGGGAGGCGAGCUAUUCUCCCUGUGGGGUAAGCUUUUUCGACGUUGUGGCUUUUGUCUUCCUGCUCCUUCUCCGGCGCUCAUCCCUUUCUUUUCUCAGGCUAAAGCGGACCCUCGAGCAGGCCCAGCCGUCCAUGGCAAAGAGGCUCAAAGCGGGAGCCGCCUCCAAGGAGCCAGGUUUGUGGUUUACUUUCGGGAUUUGUGACAUUCUUGCGCUAGCCAUCGUAGUCACCGGCCUUUAUUCUUUGUUUUGUAGGCUCCUCCGACUCCCAACCUCCAGCCAGCAUUGAGAGUGCUCCGCCUCGUCCCGUGCCUACCCCGUCGCCGCCGACGUGUGGUGAGGUGCCCCAGACGCAAGUGCCAGAGGGAGCCCCCGAGCCUCCUCGAUUGGAGGUCGAGGGGGAACCCAUCACCAUCAGCGAUACGUCUGAUGGUAACGAAGCGUCUGGGGGUGCCCGCCCUAUGGAGGAGGAAACGUCGACCUCCCACAUCGCGAGAUGGACUCCCUGGCCCGCUGGCCUUCGAGCCCUUGAAGAGCAAAGGGAGAAGGAGAAGGAGGAGGAGGAGCGGGAGCGUGGGGCAACGCAGCAGCCUCAGGAGGAGCAGCGGCAGCUGCAGCAGAUGCUCGAGGGGCAGCAGCAGCAGGAGGAGUAGGAACAACAGCAGGGGGGUCAAGAGGAAAGGCCGCUCGAGCCCCCGCCUCAAGGUCUGGCUCAACCGGUACCACCGGCGCCGCAGGAGCCCGGUGAGCAGGAGGAAAAUUUGCCGGUGUAUGGCCCUCCAACCCCGGCGUGGCUCCUCCCGGGGGCGCCUGCCGCGAUCCGGGCAGAGUCUGGGCGAGCGGACGGAGUGGUGGCGCUUGCCUGUAUGAUGCGCACCCCCACCGACCCUGAGUCCGAGAUCAAGAGGACGAUCUACGGCAUGGACGGGAUCGCUCCAGGGUUCCUCCGGGAGCGUCGGGCGUGGGAGGACCGCUUUCCCUCUGAGGAGGAUGAGAUCGGGACGUCGGGAACCAAGGACGGUACAUGGAAGACGGUGGAUCACGACGGGCGGUUCCCGUGCCUUGUCGACCUGUUCCUGCGCCACGGGGGCUCCCUCGAGACCGUCGAGAACCUUAUCCGCGGUGUCAAGGCUCGGGCUGAUCGGGAGAUGGAGAACUGGUGCCCCGAUCGGAUUCGUAUCCGGGCUUCCACCGAUCCGUCCGAGCCCAACAUCUUCCUCGACGACAAGAAAGAGGCCGAGAAGUGGGAACAUGUCGAGGAGCUCCGCCUUUGGAUGAAGCACGUGGUGGGGCUCCUGUCGGACAUCAUCAAAAAUGGGCUCGGACCAGCUUAUUUCAUAAGUGUUUUUCAAUCUUUAGUCCUCGUGGAGCUUUUUGGUUUUGUAUUCUGACUGUUCGACCGCCGGCUCACAGGACAUGAAGGAAACCUCCUGCAUCAAGUCGAGCUUUAUUCACGCCACAAGGGGCGGCUGGGAGCAGCUCCCCGUCCUCAAGGACCAACUCCUCGAGUCGCAGGAGAAGCUCCUCAAGGCUUAUAAAGACCUUAUAGCGCUCGAGGAGGAGCAGAAGGCGAGGGAGGCUGCUUUGGCCGAGGCUCGAGAGGCCUCAAGAAAGGCGGAGGAGGAGACGACGCUGCUGCGGGAGCGGGCUCUGACGGUCGAGGAGGCCGCGUCUAGAGCCCGGGAGGAGGCCCUGUCCUACAAGAGCGUUAUCGCGGACCUGGACAAAGAGAAGGGCCUUCUCAAAACCGACCUGGACUCUCUCCGAGAGUCCUUCUAGAAGAUGAAGGUGGAGCACGUGAACGGCGAGAUCGCUAGGAGCGCCGCGGAGGAAGCCAAGAGGAAGGCCCUCGAAGAUCUCGAGGCGGAGCGGGCUCAAUCCCACAGGCUCUCUGACGACGUCGAACGUCUGAAGGGAGAGCUAUUGGAGAAGAGCGGGGCCAUUGCUCAGGCUGGCAAGGCGAUCGAGGACCUCCGUGUUGCCAACACCGAGCUGGCACGCUCCAACAGAGAGAUCGAGAGGGCCAACACCAGGCUGGUCUGCGAGAACACGGCCCUGGAGGAGACCGUCCGCGGUACGUUUCCUCUGUCAGAUUUCUUUUUUCGAGGUGUGCUUGGUUUUUCCUAAGGUUUCUUGUAUUGGCAUUUACAGGACUUAAGGACGAACUCCUAGCAGCCCAAGACGAGUCGAGGGAGGGACCUCGAGGCGACGCACUGGUCGACCAGCUGUGCUACUUGGGCGCGACGCUGAGAGACCGAGUGCGGGACGCCCUCCACAUCGGGGUGAAGCGGGCGAUGGUAGUUGUCUGCUCGGGCUUCUCCUAUGACAUGGAGGUGGUGUCCCAAGGCUUCGUCACCGACAUCUCCAAGACCGACGCGGAGAACGAAGAGAGGCUCCACGCCUUGAUCGACGACGCGGAGGCUCCUGGAGAGAGGCUGGCCAAGCUUUUUGAGCCUGAGGUGCUUCCUCCUGAGACUAGCUCGGGCGGAGGCGAGGGUGGUGAGGAUCGUUCUCUGGACUGAGGCAAGCGAGCCUGCUCAGGGUGCCCGGGGCUCCUUGUAUAAUACUUUGUUAAUCCUGUUGUUAAGCGAUACAGUAUCUUUUUGUAAUUGUUAAAUGCUUAUUUGUCUUUCCGCUCGAGGUUCUUUUAUUUCUCUUUGUUCCUACGUUUGUGUUCCUUGUUCGAUCUUUCGUAAAAAACAGCCUCGAUCGCCUCAAGGGUGAGGAAGUGAGUAGAAUUUCCGUAGCCCGGGGGCGUAGGAGUUCUCAGGCUCGUUGUCCCUCGGCCUUUGAGGGGCUCGAGGUGCCUUAGCUACUCGAAUCGUGCAAGGUUUACUAAGUAGGAAGAGAAAAUUUCUUGGCUUUUUCGACGCACGGGGGGGGGGGGGGGUCGUCCCCCUGGUAGCCCCUGAGUGGGUGUUGACUAUGAUGGGUCAUAGUCAGCGCCCCCUUUUAACGUCGAGAUUAUGACUUGUAAAUCCUUGGUGCAAAAAGAAGUUGCUCGAGGGAAAGACUUCGUUUAUUCAUUCAUUCGUUUACAAAGUCUUGGUACAAAAUGUAAGCAGGAACAUAAGUUUAGAACUUCUAGGGGUAGAAUCGACGUAGCUGUUCAAUGUUCCAUGCGUUGGUGAAGAUCGCUCAAUUCUCAUCCGCUAACUUGUAUGUCCCUGGCUUCAGGACCUCGGCCACCACAUACGGGCCCUCCCAAGGUGGAGUCAGCUUGUGGCGUCCUUGAUUGCUUUGCCGGCGUCGUAGGACAAGGCCGCCCACGUUGAGGUCCCUCUUGCGCACAUGCUUGUCGUGGUAGCGUCGAAGUUUCUGCUGAUAUCUGGCAGAGUUGAAGAUGGCCAUGUCUCGAGCCUCCUCGAGCUGGUCGACCGCGUUUUCUUGAGUCUCCUUAUUUGAUUGCUCGUUGUAUGCUUUGAGUCGGGGUGACCCAUACUCGAGGUCUGUGGGGAGGACAGCCUCAAAACCGUAGACCAUGAAGAAUGGGGUGUACUUUGUGGCCCUUCUUGGUGUUGUCCUUAGACUCCAUAGGACCGAGGAAAGCUCCUCGACCCAUUUCUAGCCAAAUUUCUUCAAACGAUUGUAAAUCCUUGGCUUGAGUCCUUGCAAAAUCAUGCCGUUGGCACGCUCGACCUGGCCGUUAGUUCGAGGGUGGGCUACUGCGGACCAGUUCACACGGAUGUGAUGCGGAUCGCAAAAGUCCAAGAACUUUUUGCCGGUGAACUGAGUGCCAUUGUCGGUGAUGAUGACGUUGGGAAUCCCAAACCGAUGGAUGAUGUCGGUGAAGAAAAGGACGGCCUAUUCGGAGCGGAUGUUGGUGAUGGGUCGAGCCUCGAUCCAUUUGGAGAACUUGUCAAUGGCCACCAACAAGUGGGUGUACCCUCCUUUCGCCUUUUGUAGAGGUCCUACUAAAUCGAGCCCCCACACCGCAAACGGCCAGGUGAUGGGGAUCAUCUGAAGAGCGUGGGCGGGCAGAUGCGUCUGCUUGGCGUAGAACUGGCAUCCGUGACAUGAGCGUACGAGCUCGAUGGCAUCUGCCACGGCCGUCGGCCAGUAGAAACCUUGCCGGAAAGCGUUCCCUACGAGGGUCCGUGGAGCAGCAUGGUGGCCGCAAGCCCCCGAAUGUAGGUCCUCGAGGACUUUUCGGCCUUCUUCCACUGUGAUGCAACGCUGUAGGACCCCCGUCGGGCUUUGUCGAUAUAGCUCGUUGUCUUCGCCAUAGAUCACAUAUGACUUGGUCCGUCGAGCGAUACGACGGGCCUCUGAUCGAUCUUCCGGCAGCUCACCGCGGAUUAGGCAAUCGAGGAACGGUGUGCGCCAGUCGAACGGUCGACCAGGACGCCGUUCUACCUCCAUCGCUUCAGCCGUCAUCAAGAGCGUGUCGACGGUAUGGGUUGGCUGGGUAGGAGCGGCAUCGUUGCCAGCCCCCGAGCCUAAGUCGACGGAUGGCUCGAGAAGAUCUCUUGAGAACGCAUCAGGUGGCACCGUGCCUCGGGUUGAUGCAAUCUUGGCGAGUUCGUCGGCUGCCUCGUUGUAGCGUCGGGCGACAUGGACAAGCUUGAGACCAUGGAAUUUGUCUUCGAGUCGACGGACUUCUUUGCAGUACGCCUCCAUUUUCGGGUCAUGGCAGCUCAAGGUUUUCAUUACUUGGUCGAUGACGAGUUGGGAGUCGCCUCGGACGUCGAGGCGUCGGACUCCUAGCUCGAUGGCAAUCUUGAGACCGUUGUCGAGGGCCUCAUAUUCCGCGACGUUGUUAGAUGCGGCAAAAUGAAUCGUGAUGACAUACCUCAUAUGGACGCCCAAGGGUGAGAUGAACAGCAGGCCGGCCCCGGCUCCUGUUUUCAUGAGUGACCCAUCAAAAUACAUCGUCCAUAGCUCCACCUGGACCUGAGUCGGGGGAAGCUGGGAGUCUGUCCAUUCCGCGACAAAGUCUACCAGGGCCUGCGACUUGAUGGCCUUGCGAGGCGCAUAAGUGAGAGUCUCACUCAUGAGCUCGACCGACCAUUUAGUUAUUCUUCCCAUGGCCUCAUUGCUCUAGAUUAUUUCGCCUAAGGGGAAAGACGAGACCACCGUGAUGGGGUGGCCGAGAAAGUAGUGUUGCAGCUUACGGCGGGCAAGGAUUACGGCGUAGAUCAGCUUCUGGAUUUGGGGGUAACGUGCCUUGGUCUCCGAAAGCACUUCGCUGACGAAAUAGACUGGCCUCUGGACUGGUAGCGCAUGUCCCUCCUCCUGCCUUUCGACCACCACCGCUGUGCAGACGACCUAGGUCGUCGACGCAACGUAGAGGAGCAGCGGUUCUGCAGGUUGAGGUGGGACCAGGACUGGUGCUGAGGUCAGCGUCUUCUUCAGCUUUUCGAGCGCUUCCUCGGCCUUGGGGGUCUAAGAAAAAUGCUCGACCUUCUUCAGAAGUCGAUACAAUGGUAACGCCUUUUCUCCUAGUCUUGAGAUGAAACGGCUCAGAGCCGCCAGGCAUCCCGUGACUCUUUGCACACCCUUGAUGUCCCGGAUUGGCCCCAUUCUUGUGAUGGCCGAGACUUUCUCGGGGUUGGCCUCGAUGCCGCGCUGUGAAACAAUGUAGCCCAAGAGCAUGCCUCGAGGCACGCCGAAAACGCAUUUCUCGGGAUUGAGCUUGAUCUGGUUGGCGCGUAAACAGCUAAAAGCGAUCUCGAGGUCCUGGAUCAGGUCCCCUCGCCGCUUUGACUUGACGACAAUGUCGUCGACAUAGGCCUCGACUGUCGACCCUAUGUGUCCACCAAAUACGUGGAGCAUGCAGCGUUGGUAUGUAGCUCCCGCAUUUCGAAGCCCAAACGGCAUGGUCACAUAGCAAUACAUCCCAAAAGGUGUGAUGAAAGAGGUCGCGAGCUGGUCGGACUCCUUCAUUUUUAUUUGGUGGUAACCAGAAUAUGAAUCAAGGAAAGAAAGGGUUUCACAUCCCGCGGUAGAAUCGACAAUCUGAUCAAUACGUGAUAAUGGAAAAGGAACUUUCGGACAUGCUUUAUUUAGACUAGUAUAAUCGACACACAUCCUCAUUUUCCCAUUCUUUUUCUUAACUAAUACAGGGUUUGCUAACCAGUCGGGAUGAUGAACCUCCUUGAUGAAUCCGGCCGUCAAAAGCUUGUGGAUUUCCUCGCCAAUGAUCUUGCGCUUCUCAUCGAAUCGGCGCAACCGCUGCUUCACUGGCUUGGAACCGGCUCGAAUCUCCAAGGAGUGCUCGGCGACUUCCCUCGGUAUGCCUGGCAUGUCCGAGGGACUCCAUGCAAACAUGUCGGCAUUCGCAUGGAGAAAGUCGACGAGCACAGCUUCCUAUUUGGGGUCGAGGUCGGCGCUGAUCAUCAGCACCUUGCCGUCGGAGUUGUUGGGGUCGAGUGGGAUCUUCUUGGUUCCCUCAGCCGCCUCAAAGCUGCUGUUGGGUAUUCUUAACAUCAUUACCAAAAGUAGACUAAGUUCUCUAAAUCUAGUAACGGUGCCAAAAAUGCCAAACCUAUCCCUCACACCACUUAAGCCAAGUUGUCAUCCCCAGCAUGAUAUGAGACACGCGGUAUUGAAAUAUGCAAUUGCUCUUCUAAAUAAAUAAUGAAUGGGAUCUACAAGCGCACAGAUUAAUACCGAUGCAGCAUUUUAACCAGGAAGUAUUCUAGGUAUCGUUAUUUAUAUUUUUACCACUGGGAAGGGAUUAGCAAUCAUCAAUAUUGAUUACAGAAUAGAAUAUGAGAUUGAGCAUCUAUCAUUGCAUGUAUAAUUGAGAACAUUAUAUCUAACACUUCAUACAGGGAUAAGUGUCACAUAAAAGAUAUAUGAAGUAAUAAUAGUGACAAGGAUAACUAAUCUGAUCUAGCCACAUAAUAAAUAUGAUAAGCACCUCAAUUAGAUACUCUAGAAAGUCAUUAGCAUGGUAUUAGAACGAACUACAAGAAUAUUCCCUAAGUUAUUCUCAACUAUAUAGUCUAGCAUUAUCAUAGUUAGUGCAAGCAUACUUAGCAAUCAUUGUGAGACAAGACUACGCCCAUGCAUAGUGAUAUUAGCAAGGAAUAUGAGAAACAUAGCAAUCACUCCCCUGUAAUAAUGUUGCUCUGCCAGCCCAAUACACGAGAGAGGGACUAUAUAAGAAUCAAUGAAGCUGUCACUGUCACGAACCACCCCACGAUCUGGCAUAUUGGGUACAAUCGCAGAUAAAUACGGUAUAAGCACCACGCCUAGACAAUAUCUAUCAUUUCCCCAUGGAUCCGAUGGAUAAACGCUAUACGAUCCUAAGCAUGUAUAUAGAUCGUAUCUAACUAAGCCAAGUACAGAACUAUGAUAAACUAAGAACAAUAUAAUCUUGAAUAUAAGCAAGUAGAGCAAAGUCAUAAGCAAUAUAUUGAAGUAGAACAAAGUCAUAUUCAUAAUAUUGAAGAACAAAGAUAAUUAGAAAGCAAUUAGAAGCACAAUUAGAGAAUUACCAAGAAUCCUCUUGACAGAUCCGGAAACCAAUCGAAGAUUGACUCCUUCUAGUUCUAAUCCUAUGUAGCUAUGCUAAUCUAGAUGUCUAAUUGAUGUGGUGGCUCUAAUCUUGAUCAGAGGCUUCUUCUCCCUUGAUGGAACAAUGAAUUAGGGUUCAGAGGCUCUCUCCUCUAGGGGCCAGGGGGUCUGGUUUUAUAGUCCCUUCAAGUGAAUUUGGGCCCUUGGAUCAAACCGACAUAGAUUGUAUGGUUUAGAUUCAUCCUUUAGGUCAGUGGAGAUCUGCCGCAAAGCAGAGUCCUGUUUGGACUCCAACAGGGGGCGGGCGCCCAGUAGGACAGUAUGAUUCUCUCAGGUCUCUCUUUUGUGGUAUUUUUGGAUCCUUACCAAGGCAUUGAUGGUAUAUGCCUUCUCUCAAGAUAUGUAGUAUUUGUGGUAUAAGGCAUAGUGACAUUGCCUUCUCUCUCACCCUACUCUAAUAAGGCUUUAAUAUCUGGAGCUCAUAGGUGGGAGAUAAAAUAUACAUACUUACAAGACAUUUAUUGCAUAGUCAAACCAUGGAUCCAAAGUAACAAGCCAAUAAGUUUAAUCAAGAUGUGCAUGGGUGGCGAAUGAAUGGUGUAUGGUGGUGAUGGUGAUAACAAUGGUGAAAACAAUGGUGGUGGAAGUCUAAUUCUACUUUGCUCUUUUGAGGGGAUACAUACCUUCCUUGCUAUUGAAACUUUAUGAGGAGAAUGAGAUGCUCUUCUUUUUUUUCAUUUUUUUUCAGGUGGGUAUCUUGCACCUCUAAUUCUACUGUCGGACACUUGUCCAUUUUUACCUCUCGUCUCACUUUUUCUUUUCUUUCGAGGUUCCGAGCACUUGCUCCUUUUUAUUUCCUCGUAUAUUUUUUUUAGAGCACUCAUCUCUUGAGAUAAUAUAGCAAGUGGUAGUAACAAGAUAACUUGAGCAUUUAUUUCACAAGGGGAAAACAGAAAUAUUUUUGGUUAUUCUCUCCCGGAUUAGGAGUAGAAUAUUUUUGGGUGAGUCUAGAGAUGGAAUGGGUGGAUAUAUGUGGAUGGUACUUCCGGAGUAGAAGUAGCAUAUAUGAGUGAACGUGCAAGUGAAUCUUGAUUUAACCACAUGACAAGUUCCUAAGGGUCUACACAGCUUGACCACACUCAAUGCUCAUAAGCAGUAAAUAUUAAAUGUGUGGCUCAAAGUCUAGCAAGCAUGUAUAUAUGGCUGUGGUAGGAAUUUAAACUCUCAUCAUACAGGAACUCAUCAUGCAACAUUUUAAAGAUUUUCAAAGAUAAAAUUCUCCAGAAUUCUAGCAUCUCUAGGAACAGAUAAACAACAGCUCAACCUUCCCAUAUCAUAUCCGUUAACAACUUAGACUUCAGAUCAAGUUUUCAUCCCACAAGUUUAGGUCUAGAGCAAGCUUUAAAUUAUAACAGUUAUAUCUAAACUUGAGAGAGAACUUAAAAUGUGCAAAUUAGGCAGAGCAACUAUUCAUCAUAUCCAUGCUUAAGUUUUAUUUAGAUACAGAUUAGCAUAGCCACUUUAUUUAUUUAUUAAACAUACUAAGCAAAAGAUAUAUAUAAGUAUAAAAUCUUUAUUUGGUUUUUCAUAGUUUAUGUAUUUUAAUAUUCUAAAAUAAUAUAAGUAUAAAGAUAGAUAGAAAUACUUAUCGAGAUAAAUGGGGGUGCUCUCCCCCAAGCUGAAUUUUGACGUAAUUUCUCUUGAUGUAGCUAGCAGGUAGCAGAGGUGUAUUUGAAAGUCAGCAGCAUUCUGACAGCGAUUAGAAUGUCCUCCGUCUGCUAGUCUUCUUGAUUCUUAAAUUCUGUGGAGCUCAAAUAGACAACAAAGCUUGUGGAACUGAUUAAGUGUUAGCAUAAAUAUCUAGCCUUUAUGAUCUUGAGACUCCUAAAUAAAUAUUACUCUCUGUUUUUAUAUUUUUAUUUUAUAAAGCAGAAAAAUAUUUAUUUUUAUUUUUAUGCCACCACAGUGAAUGUACUUAUGGGUUUUAUGCCACUCGUAUACUCACAUGGGGCUUACAGUUUUUAACAUUUUUAUUUUCUUUUUUAAGAUAGUGUGAAUAUGAUUGACUAAGUAAACUAUUUGAAAUAACUGAAAGGGAAAGGAUAACUACCAAGUUUACCUCUUGGCAAGGCGUUCGGUGUUUUUAAGUCCGCCGAACGGGACUCUCCAAUUUCUUAAUCGUCCUGAGGUUCGUUGGGUGGCGUAGUCGGUACUUCCGGCAGCGCCUCCUCUUCUUGUAUAGUUAUCUUCAUUUUCCAUACCUGACUCGGUGCUUCAAUCUCCUCUGGAUAAUUCUGUUUAAAUUCAACGUCUUCUGACCUUACAACUUCUCCUUCAUAGUCUGCCCAUCCGUCCUUGAUGAUCUGCCUCCUCUGGUUGCGGUUGCGUCUUUUUCUGACCUGCUUAGAUUCUUCAAUGAUAUAGUUAGGGUCAGUAAAAUAACGGCGUACCUUCUCUGAGGGGAAGUGCAUAUGGACUUCUCCGGUUCCAAUGUAGAUAAUUGCUUUAACGGUGCUGAGGAAUGGUCUUCCAAGGAUGAUGGGUGGAUCAUACUCGUCUUCUCCCAUGUCAACAACUUGAAAGUCUGUGUAGACAAAGUGAUCGUCUAUUUUGACUGGGACAUCAGAUACUAUUCCUUUAACUUCUCGAAAUGUCUGAUCUGCCAUCUGGAGCUGAAUGUAUGUUGGUCAUAGUGGCAUGGUCCCGAACAAGAGCCGAUAAGUGACUGCGGCCAUUAUGUUGACGCCUGAUCCGGUGUCGCAAAUCGUCUUGUAGAAGUUGUAUCCAUUUAUGGAGCAGUAAAUGCUUGGCAUUCCUGGGUCGUCCUUCUUGGUCAAAAACGGUGACUUAAGUUGGUGAUCUUGGCCUCCAUGGACUACAGUGACCAUCUUAGCUGACUCGGUCCACACUUGCUUGUUCCUGUUUCUUCUGUUGGUCCUCUUCCUUGAUUCACGUCUGGAUUGAUCUUGAAUUUGUGUAGUCUUGUUCUUGAAGAAAAACGUCUCCUUCUUCCCUUUGACGUAGAAACGGAUCUUGGCAGCACUAGCGUAGAUGAUAGCUCCCGUGGUGUUCAAGAAUGGCCUCCCUAGGAUGAUAGGUGCUCUCUCAUCAUUUCCGGUCUCUACCACUACGAAGUCUGCUGGGGCAUACAAGGUACCAACUCGGACACAAAGGUUCCUCACUAUUCCUUUUGGGAAAGUUAUCGUCUGAUCUGCAAACUGCAAACACAUGGUUGUCUCUAAUAAAGGAUAUGUAAAGAAUUUGUCAUAGAGUACCCUGGGUAUAAUGUUGACACUGGAGCCAAAGUCACAGAGUGCUUCUGGGAUAUCCACCAUGCCGAUAGAGAUCGGGAUGACGGGGCGUCCUGGAUCGCCUCUCUUGACCGGCAGACGGUCAGUAGAAAAUUCAGUG